rnacentral:rRNA from 1 species
GCAGCCGCGGUAAUACGGGGGAUGCGAGCGUUAUCCGGAUUUAUUGGGUUUAAAGGGUGCGUAGGCGGCCUGUUAAGUCAGCGGUGAAAUUCAGGGGCUCAACCUCUGCCGUGCCGUUGAUACUGGCAAGCUGGAAUGCGGAUGCCGUGGGAGGAAUGUGUGGUGUAGCGGUGAAAUGCAUAGAUAUCACACAGAACACCGAUUGCGAAGGCAUCUCACGAAUCCGCUAUUGACGCUGAUGCACGAAAGCGUGGGGAUCAAACAGGAUUAGAUACCCC